rnacentral:tRNA from 1 species
GGAGGGCUAGUCCUAAUUGGUAAGGCAGCGGACUUGAAAUCCGCCGGGAGCAAUCCCAUGGGGGUUCGAAUCCCUCGCCCUCCG